UACUUCUUCGGACAAUAUACAAGGUGCUGCAUGGUUGUCGUCAGCUCGUGCCGUGAGGUGUCGGGUUAAGUCCCAUAACGAGCGCAACCCUACUCAUUAGUUGCCAUCAGGUCAAGCUGGGGACUCUAAUGAAACUGCCUACGCAAGUAGUGAGGAAGGUGGGGAGUGACGUCAAAUCAGCACGGCCCUUACGUCCAGGGCUACACACGUGCUACAAUGGCCGGUACAAAGGGCAGCUACCUGGUGACAGGAUGCUAAUCUCAAAAGCCGGUCUCAGUUCGGAUCGGAGUCUGCAACCCGACUCCGUGAAGCUGGAAUCGCUAGUAAUCGUGGAUCAGCCAAGCCGCGGUGAAUACGUUCCCGGGCCUU
rnacentral:rRNA from 1 species